AGAGUUUGAUCCUGGCUCAGGAUGAACGCUGGCGGCGUGCUUAACACAUGCAAGUCGAGCGAAGCACUUUGGAAAGAUUCUUCGGAUGAUUUCCUUUGUGACUGAGCGGCGGACGGGUGAGUAACGCGUGGGUAACCUGCCUCAUACAGGGGGAUAACAGUUAGAAAUGACUGCUAAUACCGCAUAAGACCACGGUACCGCAUGGUACAGUGGUAAAAACUCCGGUGGUAUGAGAUGGACCCGCGUCUGAUUAGCUAGUUGGUAAGGUAACGGCUUACCAAGGCGACGAUCAGUAGCCGGACUGAGAGGUUGAUCGGCCACAUUGGGACUGAGACACGGCCCAGACUCCUACGGGAGGCAGCAGUGGGGAAUAUUGCACAAUGGAGGAAACUCUGAUGCAGCGAUGCCGCGUGAGGGAAGAAGGUUUUAGGAUUGUAAACCUCUGUCUUCAGGGACGAAAAAAGACGGUACCUGAGGAGGAAGCUCCGGCUAACUACGUGCCAGCAGCCGCGGUAAUACGUAGGGAGCGAGCGUUGUCCGGAAUUACUGGGUGUAAAGGGAGCGUAGGCGGGAUCGCAAGUCAGAUGUGAAAACUAUGGGCUUAACCCAUAAACUGCAUUUGAAACUGUGGUUCUUGAGUGAAGUAGAGGUAAGCGGAAUUCCUAGUGUAGCGGUGAAAUGCGUAGAUAUUAGGAGGAACAUCAGUGGCGAAGGCGGCUUACUGGGCUUUAACUGACGCUGAGGCUCGAAAGCGUGGGGAGCAAACAGGAUUAGAUACCCUGGUAGUCCACGCCGUAAACGAUGAUUACUAGGUGUGGGGGGACUGACCCCUUCCGUGCCGCAGCAAACGCAAUAAGUAAUCCACCUGGGGAGUACGACCGCAAGGUUGAAACUCAAAGGAAUUGACGGGGGCCCGCACAAGCAGUGGAGUACGUGGAUUAAUUCGAAGCAACGCGAAGAACCUUACCAGGUCUUGACAUCGUAUGCAUAGCUCAGAGAUGAGUGAAAUCUCUUCGGAGACAUAUAGACAGGUGGUGCAUGGUUGUCGUCAGCUCGUGUCGUGAGAUGUUGGGUUAAGUCCCGCAACGAGCGCAACCCUUACUGUUAGUUGCUACGCAAGAGCACUCUAGCAGGACUGCCGUUGACAAAACGGAGGAAGGUGGGGAUGACGUCAAAUCAUCAUGCCCCUUAUGACCUGGGCCUCACACGUACUACAAUGGCUGUCAACAGAGGGAAGCAAAGCCGCGAGGUGGAGCGAACCCCUAAAAGCAGUCUUAGUUCGGAUUGUAGGCUGCAACCCGCCUACAUGAAGUCGGAAUUGCUAGUAAUCGCAGAUCAGCAUGCUGCGGUGAAUACGUUCCCGGGCCUUGUACACACCGCCCGUCACGCCAUGGGAGUCGGUAACACCCGAAGCCUGUAGUCUAACCGCAAGGAGGACGCAGUCGAAGGUGGGAUUGAUGACUGGGGUGAAGUCGUAACAAGGUA
rnacentral:rRNA from 1 species